rnacentral:rRNA from 2 species
GACUCAGUGAAAUUGAACUCGCUGUGAAGAUGCAGUGUACCCGCGGCAAGACGGAAAGACCCCGUGAACCUUUACUAUAGCUUGACACUGAACAUUGAGCCUUGAUGUGUAGGAUAGGUGGGAGGCUUUGAAGUGUGGACGCCAGUCUGCAUGGAGCCGGCCUUGAAAUACCACCCUUUAAUGUUUGAUGUUCUAACGUGGACCCGUGAUCCGGGUUGCGGACAGUGUCUGGUGGGUAGUUUGACUGGGGCGGUCUCCUCCUAAAGAGUAACGGAGGAGCACGAAGGUUGGCUAAUCCUGGUCGGACAUCAGGAGGUUAGUGCAAUGGCAUAAGCCAGCUUGACUGCGAGCGUGACGGCGCGAGCAGGUGCGAAAGCAGGUCAUAGUGAUCCGGUGGUUCUGAAUGGAAGGGCCAUCGCUCAACGGAUAAAAGGUACUCCGGGGAUAACAGGCUGAUACCGCCCAAGAGUUCAUAUCGACGGCGGUGUUUGGCACCUCGAUGUCGGCUCAUCACAUCCUGGGGCUGAAGUAGGUCCCAAGGGUAUGGCUGUUCGCCAUUUAAAGUGGUACGCGAGCUGGGUUUAGAACGUCGUGAGACAGUUCGGUCCCUAUCUGCCGUGGGCGCUGGAGAACUGAGGGGGGCUGCUCCUAGUACGAGAGGACCGGAGUGGACGCAUCACUGGUGUUCGGGUUGUCAUGCCAAUGGCACUGCCCGGUAGCUAAAUGCGGAAGAGAUAAGUGCUGAAAGCAUCUAAGCACGAAACUUGCCCCGAGAUGAGUUCUCCCUGACCCUUUAAGGGUCCUGAAGGAACGUUGAAGACGACGACGUUGAUAGGCCGGGUGUGUAAGCGCAGCGAUGCGUUGAGCUAACCGGUACUAAUGAACCGUGAGG